UACGGAGGGGGCUAGCGUUGUCCGAAGUUACUGGGCGUAAAGGGCGCGUAGGCGGAUGGCACAGUCAGAUGUGAAAUUCCCGGGCUUAACCUGGGGGCUGCAUUUGAUACGUGUUGUCUAGAGUGAGGAAGAGGGUUGUGGAAUUCCCAGUGUAGAGGUGAAAUUCGUAGAUAUUGGGAAGAACACCGGUGGCGAAGGCGGCAACCUGGUCCUUGACUGACGCUGAGGCGCGAAAGCGUGGGGAUCAAACAGG
rnacentral:rRNA from 1 species